rnacentral:rRNA from 1 species
AGUGAACGCUGGCGGUAGGCCUAACACAUGCAAGUCGAACGGCAGCACAGUAAGAGCUUGCUCUUACGGGUGGCGAGUGGCGGACGGGUGAGGAAUACAUCGGACUCUACUUUUUCGUGGGGGAUAACGUAGGGAAACUUACGCCAAUACCGCAUCCGCCCUACGGGUGAAAGCAGGGGAUCUUCUGACCUUGCGCGAUUGAAUGCGCCGAUGUCGGAUUAGCUGGUUGGCGGGGUAAAGGCCAACCCAGGCGGCGAUCCGUAGCUGGUGUGAGUGAACGAUAGGCCACACUGGAAGUGAGACACGGACCAGACGCCUGAGAGAGGGAGCAGAGGGGAAUGUUGGACAAUGGGGGCAAGCCUGAUCCAGCCAUAGCGCGUGGGUGAAGAAGGCCUUCGGGUUGUAAAGCCGGUUUGUUGGGAGAGAAAAGCAGCAGGUUAAUACCACGCUGUUCUGACGGUACCCAGAGAAGAAGCACCGGCUAACUUCGUG